rnacentral:rRNA from 1 species
UGGGGAAUAUUGCACAAUGGGCGCAAGCCUGAUGCAGCCAUGCCGCGUGUGUGAAGAAGGCCUUCGGGUUGUAAAGCACUUUCAGCGGGGAGGAAGGCGAUAAGGUUAAUAACCUCAUCGAUUGACGUUACCCGCAGAAGAAGCACCGGCUAACUCCGUGCCAGCAGCCGCGGUAAUACGGAGGGUGCAAGCGUUAAUCGGAAUUACUGGGCGUAAAGCGCACGCAGGCGGUCUGUCAAGUCGGAUGUGAAAUCCCCGGGCUCAACCUGGGAUCUGCAUUCGAAACUGGCAGGCUAGAGUCUUGUAGAGUGGGGUAGAAUUCCAGGUGAAGCGGUGAAAUGCGUAGAGAUCUGUCGGAAUACCGGUGGCGAAGGCGACCCCCUGGACAAAGACUGACGCUCAGGUGCGAAAGCGUGGGGAGCAAACAGG